GACGUAGGGCGCAAGCGUUGUCCGGAUUUAUUGGGCGUAAAGAGCUCGUAGGCGGCUUGUCGCGUCGAAUGUGAAAUCCCACGGCUCAACCGUGGAAGUGCAUGGGAAACUGCAGAGCUUGAGUACUUAAGAGGAUCGCGGAAUUCCCGGUGUAGAGGUGAAAUUCGUAGAUAUCGGGAGGAACACCAGUGGCGAAGGCGGCGAUCUGGGAAGAUACUGACGCUGAGGUGCGAAAGCGUGGGGAGCAAACAGG
rnacentral:rRNA from 1 species